rnacentral:rRNA from 1 species
UAGAGUUUGAUCCUGGCUCAGGACGAACGCUGGCGGCGUGCUUAACACAUGCAAGUGGAGCGACGAACCAGGCUUCGGCCUGGGGCAGAGCUGCGAACGGGUGAGUAACACGUGGGUAACCUGCCCCGAUGACCGGGACAACCCGAGGAAACUCGGGCUAAUACCGGAUGUGCCCUCCUCACAUCAGUGAGAUGAGUAAAGGUAGCUUAGGCCUCCGCAUCGGGAUGGGCCCGCGGCCCAUUAGCUUGUUGGUGGGGUAACGGCCUACCAAGGCUGCGAUGGGUAGCUGGUCUGAGAGGACGAUCAGCCACACUGGGACUGAGACACGGCCCAGACUCCUACGGGAGGCAGCAGUGGGGAAUUGUUCGCAAUGGGCGCAAGCCUGACGACGCAACGCCGCGUGGAGGAUGAAGAUUUUCGGAUCGUAAACUCCUGUCGAAUGGGACGAAAAGGUCGUGGGUUAACAACCUGCGAUCCUGACGGUACCGUUAAAGGAAACCCCGGCUAACUCCGUGCCAGCAGCCGCGGUAA